rnacentral:tRNA from 1 species
ACCGCUCUGGCUCAGUCAGAAGAGCAUGAGACUCUUGAUCUCAAGUUGUGGGAUGAGCCCCAUGAUGGGCA